UACGUAGGGGGCAAGCGUUGUCCGGAAUUAUUGGGCGUAAAGAGCGCGUAGGCGGUCCGGUAAGUCGGCUGUGAAAGUCAAGGGCUCAACCCUUGAAAGCCGGCCGAUACUGUCGGACUAGAGUCCGGAAGAGGCGAGUGGAAUUCCCGGUGUAGCGGUGAAAAUGCGCAGAUAUCGGGAGGAACACCAAUGGCGAAGGCAGCUCGCUGGGACGGUACUGACGCUGAGACGCGAAAAGCGUGGGGA
rnacentral:rRNA from 1 species